rnacentral:rRNA from 1 species
UACGUAGGGGGCUAGCGUUGUCCGGAUUCACUGGGCGUAAAGGGUGCGCAGGCGGCCAAGUGUGUUAGGCGUGAAAGCCCGGGGCUUAACCUCGGAAUUGCACCUAAAACUACAUGGCUAGAGCAUUGGGGAGGGUAGCGGAAUUCACGGUGUAGCAGUGAAAUGCGUAGAUAUCGUGAGGAACACCAGAGGCGAAGGCGGCUACCUGGACAAUUGCUGACGCUCAGGCACGAAAGCGUGGGGAGCAAAAGGG